rnacentral:rRNA from 1 species
AGCAGCCGCGGUAAUAUGUAGGUGGCAAGCGUUGUUCGGAAUUAUUGGGCGUAAAGCGUAUGUAGGCGGUAAUUUAAGUCUGUCGUGAAACUGCGGGGCUCAGCCCCGUAUGGCGAUGGAAACUGGGUUACUUGAGAGCAGGAGAGGAAAGGGGAACUUUCAGUGUAGCGGUGAAAUGCGUAGAUAUUGGGAAGAACACCGGUGGCGAAGGCGCCUUUCUGGACUGUGUCUGACGCUGAGAUGCGAAAGCCAGGGUAGCGAACGGGAUUAGAUACCCCGGUAGUUCUGGCCGUAAACGAUGGGUACUAGGUGUGGGAGGUAUCGACCCCUUCCGUGCCGGAGUUAACGCAAUAAGUACCCUGCCUGGGGAGUACGGCUGCAAGGCUUAAACUCAAAUAAAUUGACGG